AGUUUGAUUCCAGGCUCAGGAUGAACGCUGGCGGCGUGCCUAAUACAUGCAAGUCGAGCGAAUGGAUUAAGAGCUUGCUCUUAUGAAGUUAGCGGCGGACGGGUGAGUAACACGUGGGUAACCUGCCCAUAAGACUGGGAUAACUCCGGGAAACCGGGGCUAAUACCGGAUAACAUUUUGAACUGCAUGGUUCGAAAUUGAAAGGCGGCUUCGGCUGUCACUUAUGGAUGGACCCGCGUCGCAUUAGCUAGUUGGUGAGGUAACGGCUCACCAAGGCAACGAUGCGUAGCCGACCUGAGAGGGUGAUCGGCCACACUGGGACUGAGACACGGCCCAGACUCCUACGGGAGGCAGCAGUAGGGAAUCUUCCGCAAUGGACGAAAGUCUGACGGAGCAACGCCGCGUGAGUGAUGAAGGCUUUCGGGUCGUAAAACUCUGUUGUUAGGGAAGAACAAGUGCUAGUUGAAUAAGCUGGCACCUUGACGGUACCUAACCAGAAAGCCACGGCUAACUACGUGCCAGCAGCCGCGGUAAUACGUAGGUGGCAAGCGUUAUCCGGAAUUAUUGGGCGUAAAGCGCGCGCAGGUGGUUUCUUAAGUCUGAUGUGAAAGCCCACGGCUCAACCGUGGAGGGUCAUUGGAAACUGGGAGACUUGAGUGCAGAAGAGGAAAGUGGAAUUCCAUGUGUAGCGGUGAAAUGCGUAGAGAUAUGGAGGAACACCAGUGGCGAAGGCGACUUUCUGGUCUGUAACUGACACCGAGGCGCGAAAGC
rnacentral:rRNA from 1 species